GUGCUUGCUUCAACAGCACAUCUACUAGAAUUGGAAUGAUACAGAGAAGAUUACCAUGGUCCUUGCACAAGGAUGGCAUGAAAGUCUACGAAGCAUUCCAUAUCUUU
ensembl:snRNA U6 U6 spliceosomal RNA